rnacentral:tRNA from 1 species
CAGGGGGACAACAAAAUGUUUAAUAUUAUUAUUUUGUCACCUUAGGUCGAUCGGUAUCUCACGUUCUUAAUUUGUUAAGAAUUUCAUUUCCUAAGUUUUUCUAGGUCACACCCAUUAUUUUUCCUGGGCCAUUAGCUCAGGUGGUUAGAGCGCACCCCUGAUAAGGGUGAGGUCCCUGGUUCAAGUCCAGGAUGGCCCAUAUCUCUAUGUUGGGGGUAUAGCUCAGUUGGUAGAGCGCCUGCUUUGCAAGCAGGAUGUCAGCGGUUCGAGUCCGCUUACCUCCACUGAUUACCACCUCUUCCAUAACCGGUAGAAAGGAAAUGUUUUGAGUUGUGAUCAAAUUCUGAAAGAAUCUAGCUUCCUAAUGAAAUCAUUAAGAUGCUGGACUCAUUGAAUUAAUUUUCAUUGUUUUCAGAGAACCUUGACAACUGCAUAGAUUAUUUUAAAGACAAUAAGCAUCUUUAAUGAUGCAGAUUUAUUAUUUGUGCGAAUGCAUUAAUAACAAUUCUAUUAAGCUGAUGCUUCAAUUUUGAAGUUAUU